UACAGAGGUCCCAAGCGUUGUUCGGAUUCAUUGGGCGUAAAGGGUGCGUAGGUGGCGCCGUAAGUCGGGUGUGAAAUUUCGGAGCUUAACUCCGAAACUGCAUUCGAUACUGCGGUGCUUGAGGACUGGAGAGGAGACUGGAAUUCGAUGGUGUAGCAGUGAAAUGCGUAGAGAUCAUGAGGAAGACCAGUGGCGAAGGCGGGUCUCUGGACAGUUCCUGACACUGAGGCACGAAGGCCAGGGGAGCAAACGGG
rnacentral:rRNA from 1 species